rnacentral:misc_RNA from 1 species
AUGGACUACACGGGUUUCUAAUCCUGUUUGCUCCCCACGCUUUCGCACCUCAGCGUCAGGACCGGACCAGAGAGCCGCUUUCGCCACCGGUGUUCCACCCAAUAUCUACGAAUUUCACCUCUACACUGGGUAUUCCACCCUCCUCUUCCGACCUCGAGCACCGCAGUCCCGGCCGCACCUCCGGGGUUGAGCCCCGGGCUUUCACGAGCCGACUUGCGGCGCCGCCUACGCGCCCUUUACGCCCAGUGAUUCCGAACAACGCUAGCACCCUCCGUCUUACCGCGGCGGCUGGCAC